rnacentral:misc_RNA from 1 species
AGAUGGCUGCUCUUUCUUUCAAACCCUUCCUCCUUUUUUACCCAUUAUUUCUUCACUUGCUCAACUCAUUUUGGACUUUGGAGCCCUUUCGACUUUCGUUCAGUUUGAUGGUGGUGUGGGCGCAGUGUCGAUGUGGCUUGUGUUUCUGUGACCGAGUGUUACUGCAUUGAUGCUGUUGAUACAAUUAUUUUCUAAAUAUCAACAAACACUUUGGGACGACAGUUCAGAGUAACCUUGCAUGCAACCAAAAUAUUCUGCAAACCUAGGCGAUUAAUGACCAGGGAGAAAUAUUAAACACGCCAAGUGUAACGACAAAUGUUGGCUCAGUAUUGGGGUGGACUCGACAUAUUUUACCGCACAGCGCAUCCAUUCACCCAACAAACCGAACACAAACUCUUGUUCAGACCGGUUCAGACUCGGCAUCAGCUGCAACACUCGUCUGUUGACUGCAUCAUUAUCCGGUUUUCUAAAUGCCGAAAAUUGUGAUCUGGAUGCCCGAUGAUGAGGACCAGCCUGGGCAUGUAGCCAUCGCUACCAACGCGUAUUACGUUAGUUUUUGGCCGGCUCGUUGUUUAGAAAAGGGUAGAAAGGUAACCAGGACAAUUUCAAAUGCAGCCGUUUUCGCGUUAGAUGUGCACAAGGGAUGCCUCGUCUUCCAUCAAGACCUUGACAAGGAAAACGAAGACUGUGACCCCAACUACGAAUAUGAAAUCGACGCAGCCAAAGUCUCCAACGAGGACCUGAAUGACGUGAUUGAGGAAUUCCUCCGUUACAACGAAAUCAAUCCAGAAGAUGUGACACUGGCAAAAGGUGAGGAGAAGUAUCGAGAAUACAAGCAACUGGAGGCAUCAUUGACGGAAGAUAUAGCCGAACGAAUAGAAGAUUAUUGGAAACCGGUCAAAUCGCUUGCUGAAACUGAGUACUCGAUCGUGACCGAAUUAGUGAGCAGCAAAGAUGACGAUUCUGCGCCGUUUUACAAGAGUCAACAAAGUUGUGUGUCUUUGGUUUCAACCUCGUCCAAAUGGCCUGGCUGAAACAUCAUCCCAAUCCCAUUCCAAUCAUCAAUUACGAAGAAGCCAAAAAUGCAAAAGAAAUUUCCUUUCUCUUCUAUU